rnacentral:rRNA from 1 species
AACUAGCUUGCUAGUUUGUCAGCUAAGUGGCGCACGGGUGAGUAAUAUAUAGUUAAUCUGCCCCAAAGAAGAGAAUAAUUGUUGGAAACGACUUGUAAUGCUCUAUAUGCCUUUAAGACAUAAGUCUGCAAGGGAAAUAUUUAUAGCUUUGGGAUGAGACUGUACGGUAUCAGCUAGUUGGUGAGGUAAUGGCUCACCAAGGCUAUGACAUCUAACUGGUUUGAGAGGAUGAUCAGUCACACUGGAACUGAGACACGGUCCAGACUCCUACGGGAGGCAGCAGUGGGGAAUAUUGCACAAUGGACGAAAGUCUGAUGCAGCAACGCCGCGUGGAGGAUGACACAUUUCGGUGCGUAAACUCCUUUUAUAUGAGAAGAUAAUGACGGUAUCAUAUGAAUAAGCACCGGCUAACUUCGUGCCAGCAGCCGCGGUAAUACGAGGGGUGCAAGCGUUACUCGGAAUCACUGGGCGUAAAGAGCAUGUAGGCGGGUUUGUAAGUUGGAAGUGAAAUCCUAUGGCUCAACCAUAGAACUGCUUCCAAAACUGCUUACCUAGAGUAUGGGAGAGGUAGAUGGAAUUUCU